GCCUGGGUGGCUCAGAGGUUGAGCAUCUGCCUUUGACUCAGGGCGUGGUCCCAGAGUCGCGGGAUCAAGUCCCGCAUCGGGCU
rnacentral:tRNA from 1 species